CCUUUUGUAUAAUGGGUCAGCGACUUAUAUUCUGUAGCAAGGUUAACCGAAUAGGGGAGCCGAAGGGAAACCGAGUCUUAACUGGGCGUUAAGUUGCAGGGUAUAGACCCGAAACCCGGUGAUCUAGCCAUGGGCAGGUUGAAGGUUGGGUAACACUAACUGGAGGACCGAACCGACUAAUGUUGAAAAAUUAGCGGAUGACUUGUGGCUGGGGGUGAAAGGCCAAUCAAACCGGGAGAUAGCUGGUUCUCCCCGAAAGCUAUUUAGGUAGCGCCUCGUGAAUUCAUCUCCGGGGGUAGAGCACUGUUUCGGCAAGGGGGUCAUCCCGACUUACCAACCCGAUGCAAACUGCGAAUACCGGAGAAUGUUAUCACGGGAGACACACGGCGGGUGCUAACGUCCGUCGUGAAGAGGGAAACAACCCAGACCGCCAGCUAAGGUCCCAAAGUCAUGGUUAAGUGGGAAACGAUGUGGGAAGGCCCAGACAGCCAGGAUGUUGGCUUAGAAGCAGCCAUCAUUUAAAGAAAGCGUAAUAGCUCACUGGUCGAGUCGGCCUGCGCGGAAGAUGUAACGGGGCUAAACCAUGCACCGAAGCUGCGGCAGCGACGCUGAUGCGUUGUUGGGUAGGGGAGCGUUCUGUAAGCCUGCGAAGGUGUGCUGUGAGGCAUGCUGGAGGUAUCAGAAGUGCGAAUGCUGACAUAAGUAACGAUAAAGCGGGUGAAAAGCCCGCUCGCCGGAAGACCAAGGGUUCCUGUCCAACGUUAAUCGGGGCAGGGUGAGUCGACCCCUAAGGCGAGGCCGAAAGGCGUAGUCGAUGGGAAACAGGUUAAUAUUCCUGUACUUGGUGUUACUGCGAAGGGGGGACGGAGAAGGCUAUGUUGGCCGGGCGACGGUUGUCCCGGUUUAAGCGUGUAGGCUGGUUUUCCAGGCAAAUCCGGAAAAUCAAGGCUGAGGCGUGAUGACGAGGCACUACGGUGCUGAAGCAACAAAUGCCCUGCUUCCAGGAAAAG
rnacentral:rRNA from 1 species